AACCCUCAAGAGGACGUGAGGGAUCACUUGUGUUUUCUCUCCCUCCAGCUGACCGAUAGCAGAAUGCAAAGAACUUCAUCUAGUCAGACUCCCUCCCCUGCCACCCAAUUUCUCUGUAAUGAUCCGACAGAAAUGUACAUUCAACACAAAAAGAAAUUUUAAAACAACUGGCACUCUCCCUCUAUGGUUUUCACUACAUUUAUUUGUGUGCCUUUGUCUGCUUUGCCAAAAAACCCAAUCCCCUGAGAAGUUGCUGUGAUGGGAAGCUACGUGAGGCAUGGUUGAUUGUAAAAAAUGCAAGCAAAAGCACUAAUGUCCUUUGAAUGUUUCCCAGCCAUUCCAACACCAACCAUUUCAUACAUUUAGAAACUACUAUGAAUUGUAAAGGUGAAAUGACAUGUUGUUGAUGACAAUUUUGCCACCAGCCACUUUUCUUUAUAGCUGUGACCAAUGCUUCAUGUUCCUAUUCUGGCUGGUGUGGGAGAGUGAAGGAAGAGAAAUUCUAAAUGGGAUAUCUAUGUUGGAAACUUAUGGAUCAGGGUGUGAUGGAUGGGAGAUGAGCUCAGGGACAGGUACCAGGGGAGGCAUGAGAUUAUGUCAAUCAAUGACCCACAAGGUCUGCAAAGCCAGUGAUUAACUCAGUCUGGUCUGGGACUGAUCCCAAAGGAAUUCAGAACAUUGGUGUGGAAGUGCCUACAGGCAGCUGGUGAGGAAGAGCCAAAUGCUAGUGAAUCCCAACUAGGCCAAUAAAGGGGAGCUCACCCUUGAACUCCUGCUAAAAUGGAACAGCUGGCUCCAAAAAUAAUUCAUAGCAUGUGAGCCCACACCUUUCCAUCAUGUUUUACAUGAAUAUAAUCAAACCCUGCAUCUGCCUUCCCUCUCUUUGUUAAGUCAUUGUUGGUGAAGAUGCCCAAAUGAGAGCAGUAGCUCUUGUCUCUGCAAAUGUUAGAGGGCACCAGCAAAGCAUUCUGGUGCCACAUUGGGAUACAGUACAGUUGGGAUCUAACUUAUGAACAGGGCAGCACUGCCUGUUGUGCUAGCCUUCAUUUUCAGUCUCAGUCAUCGAACUGGAUGAGUGGAAGAGCCUUAAUCAGCCUGAUAUAUGAUGCCUUGCAGCUUGCUUGAACAGGGGCCUCAGUGUUUCCUUUGCUUCCCCUCUUUCUCAUUCAGUUAACAGAAGACCUUGAAUGUAUGAGUCACGUCAGCUGCUGCUGAACCUUAGUGAUUGUCUAUUACUAAUUCUUUGUCAAUGCUGUGCCCUGAGAUGAUUGUUUGAUUCUUCUAUUUGUUUGUUUUUUAAGAUUUAAAUAAUGCAGUGUUUCUAUGGUUCUUUGUGAAGAGGGAAUUAUGUUUUAGGGGAACAUUUUCACAUGGUGUACAUCUCCGUUGUUUGUUAGUGAGAUCUUGUAUGCAACUCUAGCUUGUCUUUGAAGCAUCUGUUGAACAUGGUAACUUGAGCAGAGGGACAGAAACACCACACACAGGAUUUCUUCAUCUGUUCUCCCGAAUGCUGAAAAAAAAUUGUUUCGAUUUCAAAUGCUGCUUUUCAGUUCUAUGCUGUUGGGUCUUGGUUACUUGUACAUUGUGUGUGUGGAGUAGCAAAGUGCUGUGUAACAAACUUGUAGGGCCACUAUUACAAAGCAGGCAACAAUGGAUUAUAUUUAUUUAUAUGAUGAAGGGAAGUAUUGAGCAUUCCUGCCCCUACCAAGAAUGACUAUUGAUUGUAAACCAUUCCAGUUGCUGCUAUCACCACAAGGGCAAGUGGUAGAUACACAACAGUUCAUGCUGAAGAUCAGAUUGUUAUUUAUUUAUUUAUUUAUUGUGGCUUCAGGUAGUAUGUGACUCUAAGAUGUAAGUUGGCUGCAAGUUCAGCCAAAGUUGAAGAAAAAUGUGGGCAGGGCAGAAAAGGAAGACAGUGCCUCAUUCUGCAGAUAGGUAGAUGAUGUCAAGGGAGGAACUAGAAAGUUAAUUUGAUAUUUAAUUGAAAAUCACUGACUGGAGGGACAAGAAUUUUAUUAUUAAUGCUUUCCAACUUGCAUAGCCUUAUUAUGGAAACAAAUGUCAUAAGACUGGGAGGCAUGCUUGGCGGUGGAGCCUUCUGCCUUGCAAGCCAUGCGUGCACAUUUGUCAUGGUGGAGAGAGCCAUUAGACUAUGUGUGCGCUGAUCUACCUGCCCUUCCCAUUUUCCAAAAGACCAAGCGCUUGUGAGCCCAGAGCUCAUGUUUGCAUUGCAAACUUGCAGGGCCCUCCUGGGUCAGGGAAUCUCACUUCUCCAGUAGGGCCUGCAAAAUCAGGCAGUUGUAUACUCAGUGACUUGGUCUCCAUACAUCUCAAAAUGGGAAAUGGGCAGGGGAAAGGGCAUUCUUCAGGGCAGAAACUUGCACCAUUUCACUAUGCAAAGGUUGGGUUGCAAUUACGGGAUCUAGGAUGGAAUUUGCACAUUACAGGAAUCAGAGGGCAGUCACAGAAUGUAGUCAUUCUGUAUCAAUUUUAUUUGUUUACAUCCAUAAAGGAUAGUGCAAUUUAUGGUGGCGCCCUGAUAUCCAUACUCUAAAUAAUCUCCUACUAGCAGCUGCCCAUGACUUGGAGGCAGAAGUAGGAAAAAAAAUGCUGUCAGCAGUGUCAGAAAGUAUAUGAGUUAGAACCUUCACACAAUGCUGUGAUUUAUUUGCAGAGUUGUUUUCUGUGAUGGCAGCUGGUGAGUUUUGUUUUCUAGCAUAAAACUCUGA